GCAUUGAGUUGGGUGGGAGCGCAGCAGGGUUUCGGCACAGUCUCUGGGUUUAUAAAGUGAACCAGUGUCUGCACAAUGGCAUGAUUUGUAGCAUUCAUGUAUGAAUUCAAUGGGAAAGCGCAUUCUCCUUCACAGUAAUACGCAGCAUAGCCCUCUGGAGCGAUGAUCCAGUCCUGCCACCCCAGGUCCCUGAAGCUGACAUAGAGCUCGUGCUUCUUGCAGGCUUGGCGCUGGUCGCUGCUGCUGUUCUCUGCGAUGUUUGACACCCGGAAGGCUUCCUGGUUCUUUGGCGUUUUGGAUCGAUUCUGGCUCCUCUGCUUCCCUCCUGUGGAGCGGAUGCUGCGGAGAUGAACCUCGGUGGCUUUGAAGAAGGCGACCGUGAAGGGCUGCUUGUUUUGUGGGCCGUGCCUCCCAAUGAGCCCUGCCAGCUUGGGGUUGAU
rnacentral:lncRNA from 1 species